rnacentral:rRNA from 1 species
UACGGAGGAUGCGAGCGUUAUCCGGAUUUAUUGGGUUUAAAGGGUGCGUAGGCUGUUUGUCGAGUCAGGGGUGAAAUACCUGGGCUCAACCGAGGAAUUGCCUUUGAUACUGGCAGGCUUGAAUACUGUUGCCGUGGGAGGAAUGAGUAGUGUAGCGGUGAAAUGCAUAGAUAUCACUCAGAACACCGAUUGCGAAGGCAUCUCACGAAACAGCGAUUGACGCUGAGGCACGAAAGCGUGGGGAUCAAAC